GGCGGCGUGCUUAACACAUGCAAGUCGAACGCUGAAGCUCCAGCUUGCUGGGGUGGAUGAGUGGCGAACGGGUGAGUAACACGUGAGUAACCUGCCCUCCACUUCGGGAUAAGCACUGGAAACGGUGUCUAAUACUGGAUGUGACAUCAGCCUGCAUGGGUUGGUGUGGAAAGAUUUUUUGGUGGUGGAUGGACUCGCGGCCUAUCAGCUUGUUGGUGGGGUAAUGGCCUACCAAGGCGACGACGGGUAGCCGGCCUGAGAGGGUGACCGGCCACACUGGGACUGAGACACGGCCCAGACUCCUACGGGAGGCAGCAGUGGGGAAUAUUGCACAAUGGGCGAAAGCCUGAUGCAGCGACGCCGCGUGAGGGAUGACGGCCUUCGGGUUGUAAACCUCUUUCAGCCUUGACGAAGCCCUUUUGGGGUGACGGUAGGGGCAGAAGAAGCACCGGCUAACUACGUGCCAGCAGCCGCGGUAAUACGUAGGGUGCGAGCGUUGUCCGGAAUUAUUGGGCGUAAAGAGCUUGUAGGCGGUUUGUCGCGUCUGCUGUGAAAGCCCGGGGCUUAACUCCGGGUCUGCAGUGGGUACGGGCAGGCUAGAGUGUGGUAGGGGAGACUGGAAUUCCUGGUGUAGCGGUGGAAUGCGCAGAUAUCAGGAGGAACACCGAUGGCGAAGGCAGGUCUCUGGGCCAUUACUGACGCUGAGAAGCGAAAGCGUGGGGAGCGAACAGGAUUAGAUACCCUGGUAGUCCACGCCGUAAACGUUGGGCGCUAGGUGUGGGUCCCAUUCCACGGGGUCCGUGCCGCAGCUAACGCAUUAAGCGCCCC
rnacentral:rRNA from 1 species